rnacentral:lncRNA from 1 species
CAGUUUAGAUCCAAUUACAGGAGACAGAUUUUAAAUGUUCUAUCUAGCUAACUAAGUAUAGUUUCCUGAUAUCUGCAUCACAAAAGAGCUAAAGAUAAUCCCUGGGGCUAUACACCGGAGUUGACAAGCUCCUCCCUCUACAGGAAGGAAAUGUAGCACAACUAAAAGGGCAGAAAACAAAGCCGAAGAAAGAAAUGCCCAGUAGAGAGCAGAACUGGAAUACCAUGAGAGAAUGCUGGUAGACCUGCAGCAUGAGAGAUAGAAAUGGCCAACAACUUGGGGACUUACAAGCAAGAAAAUGAGCAAACAACAGCAAAGAAAGCUCUUGACCUGAAAAAUUCCUACAGGGGAAAAAUAAAGAAGAGUUCAAAACAGUUUUAGAAAGAAAACCAGAAAUGAAGGGAUAAUUUGCUUCUCUAACAUCCUAAACAACAGAACUGCAAAAGUGAAUAAAUUCAGACAGCAACAACUACAGCAACAGAAUGAUAACAGAAAGAUCAGUAAGAGACUUCUUUCUAAAUAAACACAAGGAUACAGGUUGAAGGCAGAAAUCUGGUAGAGGUAAUGGUGAAGAAACAGAACAUUAUGGACAGAAUAUGGUAAUAUCAUCUACAGGCGAAUGCUCCUUUUGUGGGACCACAGUACAACAUGGAAGGCUUGGUUGGGUCCCCUCCAUGCUGCUCCUUGCCAGAGAUUGCAAGCAAAAUAAAAGCCACCAGAAUGGUUCAAAGAAAGAUCCAGAGCAUGGGCCAGGACUGGAGCAAAGAAAGUGACUGAGCUUCC